CCUACGGGAGGCAGCAGUGGGGAAUUUUGGACAAUGGGCGCAAGCCUGAUCCAGCAAUGCCGCGUGAGUGAAGAAGGCCUUCGGGUUGUAAAGCUCUUUUGUCAGGGAAGAAACGGUCUACUCUAAUACAGUGGGCUAAUGACGGUACCUGAAGAAUAAGCACCGGCUAACUACGUGCCAGCAGCCGCGGUAAUACGUAGGGUGCAAGCGUUAAUCGGAAUUACUGGGCGUAAAGCGUGCGCAGGCGGUUAUAUAAGUCAGAUGUGAAAUCCCCGGGCUCAACCUGGGAACUGCAUUUGAGACUGUAUGGCUAGAGUGUGUCAGAGGGGGGUAGAAUUCCACGUGUAGCAGUGAAAUGCGUAGAUAUGUGGAGGAAUACCGAUGGCGAAGGCAGCCCCCUGGGAUAACACUGACGCUCAUGCACGAAAGCGUGGGGAGCAAACAGGAUUAGAUACCCUGGUAGUCCACGCCCUAAACGAUGUCUACUAGUUGUCGGGACUUAAUUGUCUUGGUAACGCAGCUACGACGUGAGUAGACGCCGUCGGAGGUACGGUCGCGAGAGUAAACGUAACGUAAGUAGUAGUACGUACGUCGUAGACGACGACGACGACGACGACGGAGGAGGGAGAG
rnacentral:rRNA from 1 species